AACCCUAGAGACACACCACCAGCACAGCACACGAUUAACGACUCGACACGACGCGAUUCAGAGAUCACCGUCAUCUUAUUCAUCGCGAAGCGGGAGCGGAUGGGAGGAGGGGGGACGGAGGGAUACAAUCAAUACAGGACUCGACGACGGGGGAUGGAGGGCGGCAGCACCAGCAGAUCUAGGCGAGCUGGCCGCAGUCUGCGAUCUUGACGGCCUUGGCGGUGGUGCCGCUGCGUGACCCGACCUUCUCGAUGGCCUUGACGACGUCGAGGCCAUCGACGACCUGCCCGAAGACGACGUGCUUGCCGUCGAGCCAGGGGCAGGGCACGGUGCAGAUGAAGAACUGGGAGCCGUUGGUGUUGGGCCCGGCGUUGGCCAUGGAGAGCACCCCGGGUCCCGUGUGCUUGCGCACGAACUUCUCGUCGGCGAACUUGGCGCCGUAGAUGGACUCGCCGCCGGUGCCGUUGCCGUCGGUGAAGUCGCCGCCCUGGCACAUGAAGUCGGGGAUGACGCGGUGGAACGUGGAGCCCUUGUAGUGGAGCGGCUUGCCCUUCUUCCCCACGCCCUUCUCCCCCGUGCACAGCGCCCGGAAGUUCUCCGCCGUCUUGGGCACCUCGUGCGCGUACAGCUCCAUCACGAUGCGACCCGCCGGGGCGUCGCCGAUGGUCAUGUCGAAGAACACGCGCGGGUUCGCCGAGGCCAUGGGUGGGGAGGCGGUGGGGAUCGAGGAGGAGGGGUUUAGGGAUUUGUUGGGGCAGAAGGAAAUCCUCUGGCUUUGGUUGAUGCUGUGGGGAUGUCUGU
rnacentral:lncRNA from 1 species